GUUCGCUCUUGUAUAAUCAAGAUUGUUCCAUUGAUCUUAAACUCUUUUGAACCAUCUUGAACCCUUUUGGGUGUGGAUCUUAAUUUUAUCUUAUUAUAAAUAGAGCAACCGGCUAUUAUUGCAAAUAGAGGCAUUAGAGAGCUCUGAAUGCGGGCGCGGAGGCGAACGCCCGAUGACCGACGAUGAUGAGAAACGUUCGCCAUCGGGAGAACAAAGGCCCGGUGGCCCGGGGAGACAGACGGGUAUUCAAAUUCGAGCUUAGCGGUCGCCGGCCGGCUAAUUGCAUUACCGCGCGCGCGGCCCUCUGUAUAAGGUAUACGCACGACAUUCGAUUCUCUCUCGUCUCGGUAUGACGAGUGCCGCCUGGAGCGCGAUUAUAGCAGGCUCGGAUUAUGAAGGUAAGACGCACUGCUCGAAAACGUUGCGUCGAGUUCAAUGCCACCUCCGGCGAAACAGAGAAGAACUGGAGAAUAAGCGGGAGGGAGAGAGAGAGAAGGAGUGAGCGAGUAGAGUUAGUACCAUAGAAAUACAAAUUUUAUGUGACACAGACCCACGCGAGAAAAGAAGAAAAAAAUGAGAUAUAUGAAUUGGAAUCUGUAAUCGCUGGCAGUUAAUUUUGACGAGCGAGAUAAAGUAUCAUCGAUGCAGAGCCGAUUUAGUCGGGAUUCAAAUAAAUUCUCCUCUCUCUCUCUCUCUCUCUUCUUAAUUUAAAUGUCCAUAAUUAUGCAGUAAUCGCUGUAUCAUCAUACGAGUAAUGUACCACGCGAUUCAAAGGGCUGCGCCGAUAAAUCAACGGCGGAUUACUCGUCGAUUGGCGGUCUAAGCGAUCGCUCGCGGUCUCUCCACAGGAUUGGAUCCCUUCCUCUAAUAACAAAAAAAAAAGAAAAGAAAGAUGAAAAGCAUUUUAUAAAUUCGUAGCUGUUUAUUCCUUCAAAGUGGACGCUCGCAUAAUUACAUAUAUCGAUUAGCGUCAAGGCGAAACAGCUUCUUUCGCACAUACACAUAUAAGUGUCCCACACACGUUUAAACCCCGACAGCACAUGAUCUCGUACGAAUAUCAUAAUGUACGAUAAUCUUGUGCUGUUAGGGCAAAUAGGGAGGCUCGUAAUCACACGGAUGUUCCCUAUCUCCCCAGGAAAAACAAUAGGACGAAAGCGAGAGUUACGAGGUGCUGAAAGUGUUGUUUAUCAUUCGAGAGGUUGUCGCGUUAUAUUCGUAAUAAUCGAUUCAUCUGCCAUUAGUGCAUCCCGCAGCAGAGGCCGUACGCGUGAUGAGUUAUUUCGCGAUAGAUUGUUACACAGGAACGCUAUUAACACGCUCUGGACAGUUUGACCCUGGUGAUGAUAGAUACGAGAUUAUCUUUCUUUCUCUCUCUUUCUCUUCUUCGCCAUUUGAGAACAGCGCGAUAGAAUUCGUACGUUUUAUUCCGCACACAUAUAUCUGUGAGACGCCUCUCCGCGCGACACGCAUUAAAAUCACGAAACGGCUUCUGGAGGCGAAUGUGAGUCAAACGGGUUUGCAGAGACGAAGAUGAGGAGAGUGACCGUGGCGGGUGCGAAACGUCGUGUAAAUCAUCGUGAAAGACCGAGCAGACACGUC